GACGAACGCUGGCGGCGUGCUUAACACAUGCAAGUCGAACGGUAAGGCCCCAGCUUGCUGGGGUACACGAGUGGCGAACGGGUGAGUAACACGUGGGUGACCUGCCCCGCACUUCGGGAUAAGCCUGGGAAACUGGGUCUAAUACCGGAUAGGACCGCACCGUGAGGGUGUGGUGGAAAGUUUUUCGGUGUGGGAUGGGCCCGCGGCCUAUCAGCUUGUUGGUGGGGUAAUGGCCUACCAAGGCGGCGACGGUUAGCCGGCCUGAGAGGGUGGACGGCCACAUUGGGACUGAGACACGGCCCAGACUCCUACGGGAGGCAGCAGUGGGGAAUAUUGCACAAUGGGCGGAAGCCUGAUGCAGCGACGCCGCGUGGGGGAUGACGGCCUUCGGGUUGUAAACUCCUUUCACCAUCGACGAAGGUUUUCUGACGGUAGAUGGAGAAGAAGCACCGGCUAACUACGUG
rnacentral:rRNA from 1 species